AGCGAGCUCGGGACAAUCUUAUAAUGGCGUGGACUCUAGCCGCAGACAGAAACGAGGAAUGGUUCUUCCUUUCGAGCCACAUUCUAUAACCUUUUACCAAGUUGUGUAUUCUGUCGACAUGCCUCAGGAAAUGAAGGUUCAAGGGGUAAUAGAGGAUAGGUUGGUGCUUUUGAAGGGUGUUAGUGGUGCAUUUAGGCCUGGUGUUCUCACAGCAUUGAUGGGAGUUAGUGGAGCUGGAAAAACUACUUUAAUGGAUGUUUUGGCCGGUAGGAAAACCGGUGGUUACAUCGACGGGAGCAUAAAAAUUUCUGGAUACCCUAAAAGAUAAGAAACGUUUGCUCGAAUCUCUGGUUAUUGCGAGCAGAAUGAUAUCCAUUCUCCUCAUGUUACAGUCCACGAGUCAUUGCUCUACUUGGCUUGGCUUCGUUUACCAUCAAAAGUGACUUAUAAUACAAGGAAGAUGUUCAUUGAGGAAGUAAUGGAACUAGUGGAGCUGAAUCCAUUGAGAAACUCUUUGGUUGGUUUGCCUGGCGUAAACGGUGUUUCAACCUAACAAUGCAAUAGGCUAACUAUUGCAGUUGAAUUAGUGGCCAAUCCGUCGAUAAUUUUCAUGGACGAGCCUACAUCUGGAUUAGAUGCUAGAGCUGCUGCAAUUGUUAUGCGAACCGUUAGGAACACAGUUGACACAGGAAGAACUGUUGUUUGCACCAUUCAUCAACCAAGUAUCGACAUAUUCGAAGCUUUCGAUGAGUAUAUCAGUGGUUUAUGAAGGCGAGAGGAGCAGAAUACUGUCAUCCAUAAAAUAGUUAAACGUGUUUGUCUAUUAGCACGUAGUUCAAAUGCAUGUCUUUAGAUUGACACUUCGGACAUGGGACUGUGUUACUGGUCAAUGUACUAAUUUGACGAAUCUUGGUGCUAAAGCUACCUCUUUGAUCAGUGAGGGCCCGUGGAUUUUUGUUGGUCUGCCUAACAUUGUCAAGACUUUGCUUGAGAAGAUGAAGUCGGUGUAUACGAAUGUAGAAGGUCUUCCUCCGGAUCGAAUUGUGGAAAACAAUUGCUUCUCCAGGGCGUGGUAUUUUGGCCAUGGAUGAAUCCAAUGCUACAUGUGGAAAGCGGUUGGAUUCAAUUGGACUAGAGAACACCGAAGCUAACCGUCAAGUAUGGCGUAAAAUUAUA